UGUGGGAGCGGGCUUGCUCGCGAAAGCGGUGUAUCAGUUAACGAUGAUGUCGACUGAUACGCCGCUUUCGCGAGCAAGCCCGCUCCCACA
rnacentral:antisense_RNA from 1 species